UACAGAGGUCUCAAGCGUUGUUCGGAUUCAUUGGGCGUAAAGCGCGUGUAGGCGGCUUUGCAAGUCGGGUGUGAAAGCCCUCGGCUCAACCGAGGAAGUGCGCCCGAAACUGCAGAGCUUGAGUACCGGAGAGGAUGGCGGAAUUCCCCAAGUAGAGGUGAAAUUCGUAGAUAUGGGGAGGAACACCGGUGGCGAAGGCGGCCAUCUGGACGGAUACUGACGCUGAGACGCGAAAGCGUGGGGAGCAAACAGG
rnacentral:rRNA from 1 species